rnacentral:tRNA from 1 species
GGGCUCGUAGAUCAGUUGGAAGAUCGCCACUUUGGCAUAGUGGAGGCCUCGGGUUCAAAUCCCGACGAGUCCA